UACGGAGGGGGCUAGCGUUGUUCGGAAUUACUGGGCGUAAAGCGCGCGCAGGCGGUCUUCCAAGUCAGUGGUGAAAGCCCGGAGCUCAACUCCGGAACUGCCAUUGAAACUGUAAGACUUGAGGAUGAGAGAGGUGAGUGGAAUUCCCAGUGUAGAGGUGAAAUUCGUAGAUAUUGGGAAGAACACCGGUGGCGAAGGCGGCUCACUGGCUCAUAUCUGACGCUCAGGCGCGACAGCGUGGGGAUCAAACAGG
rnacentral:rRNA from 1 species